rnacentral:rRNA from 2 species
AAACUCAAAGGAAUUGACGGGGACCCGCACAAGCAGUGGAUUAUGUGGUUUAAUUCGAAGCAACGCGAAGAACCUUACCAGCACUUGUCAUCCAACUAACGAAAUAGAGAUAUAUUAGGUGCCCUUCGGGGAAAGUUGAGACAGGUGGUGCAUGGUUGUCGUCAGCUCGUGUCGUGAGAUGUUGGGUUAAGUCCCGCAACGAGCGCAACCCUCGCCAUUAGUUGCUACGCAAGAGCACUCUAAUGGGACCGCUACCGACAAGGUGGAGGAAGGUGGGGACGACGUCAAAUCAUCAUGCCCCUUAUGUGCUGGGCUACACACGUAAUACAAUGGCCAUCAACAGAGAGAAGCAAUACCGCGAGGUGGAGCAAAACUUCAAAAAUGGUCUCAGUUCGGACUGCAGGCUGCAACCCGCCUGCACGAAGUUGGAAUUGCUAGUAAUCGUGGAUCAGCAUGCCACGGUGAAUACGUUCCCGGGCCUUGUACACACCGCCCGUGGG